GACCCCUUAGCUCAGCGGUAGAGCGUCGCAUUCCAGCUGUGCUUCAGUUUCGCGAAGGCCGUCCGUUCAAUCCGGGCAGGGGUCA